rnacentral:sRNA from 1 species
UAAACUUAGGGUUGUAUUCGAUGCUAGC